CCUGUACAGCUAUCAAACAUGCGUAUCGGGUGACCGUAAGAGAGCUUGCUCUCGGGUGACGAGCGGCGGACGGGUGAGUAAUGUCUGGGAAACUGCCUGAUGGAGGGGGAUAACUACUGGAAACGGUAGCUAAUACCGCAUAACGUCGCAAGACCAAAGUGGGGGACCUUCGGGCCUCAUGCCAUCAGAUGUGCCCAGAUGGGAUUAGCUAGUAGGUGGGGUAACGGCUCACCUAGGCGACGAUCCCUAGCUGGUCUGAGAGGAUGACCAGCCACACUGGAACUGAGACACGGUCCAGACUCCUACGGGAGGCAGCAGUGGGGAAUAUUGCACAAUGGGCGCAAGCCUGAUGCAGCCAUGCCGCGUGUGUGAAGAAGGCCUUCGGGUUGUAAAGCACUUUCAGCGGGGAGGAAGGCGUUAAGGUUAAUAACCUUGUCGAUUGACGUUACCCGCAGAAGAAGCACCGGCUAACUCCGUGCCAGCAGCCGCGGUAAUACGGAGGGUGCAAGCGUUAAUCGGAAUUACUGGGCGUAAAGCGCACGCAGGCGGUCUGUCAAGUCGGAUGUGAAAUCCCCGGGCUCAACCUGGGAACUGCAUUCGAAACUGGCAGGCUAGAGUCUUGUAGAGGGGGGUAGAAUUCCAGGUGUAGCGGUGAAAUGCGUAGAGAUCUGGAGGAAUACCGGUGGCGAAGGCGGCCCCCUGGACAAAGACUGACGCUCAGGUGCGAAAGCGUGGGGAGCAAACAGGAUUAGAUACCCUGGUAGUCCACGCCGUAAACGAUGUCGAUUUGGAGGUUGUGCCCUUGAGGCGUGGCUUCCGGAGCUAACGCGUUAAAUCGACCGCCUGGGGAGUACGGCCGCAAGGUUAAAACUCAAAUGAAUUGACGGGGGCCCGCACAAGCGGUGGAGCAUGUGGUUUAAUUCGAUGCAACGCGAAGAACCUUACCUGGUCUUGACAUCCACAGAACUUUCCAGAGAUGGAUUGGUGCCUUCGGGAACUGUGA
rnacentral:rRNA from 1 species